rnacentral:tRNA from 1 species
GCCCAGCUAGUCCAGUCUGUAGAAUAUGAGCCUCUUAAUCUCAGGCUUGUGGGUUUGAGCCCCCUGUUGGGCA